AGGAGAUCUCAGAAGAAAUUUGAUCUUUACUAUUAUGAUGGUUUGGCUGGACAAACUGAAGAAAUACGUUUAACUGUCGGUAAGAAUUAGCAAAUUUCGUCCAUAAGGGCAAAUGAAUAUGGUGAAUCUUGAAGUGGUCUUUUAGAUCAAUCGCCAUUCUUAACUAUAUAAAGUGUUUUAGUGUUUUUCGUCCUUUUUUAAGUUUUGAGAUUCACUAGUUGAAUUUAAGUUAACUGCAGUUGUUAAUACAGACUGCAAUAAAAUGCAGACUGAGGAAUUCUCCACAUCAAUGGUGCAUCAUCUAUGCUGAACCCCUAACUUAUUCAAUAUUGAUCAUGUAGAUAUCAGUGGUGAAGGUGUUAUGGAAGGUGUCCCAGAUGAUCUCACACCACCUCUGGAUCAUUGCAUUAGAACAAAGUAAGUCACAAAUUAAAUCCAUGGCAUCCAAAUAUGUUUGUCUUGUGGAAACAUUCGUUAACUGUUUCUACACCAGUGUACAUAUUACUUCACACGUGGAGUUAAUGCAAAUAUCGUAUUUUUAAUAUAGUAUUUUAUAAUAUCGUAUUUUUCUUCAGAUGGAAAGAUGCAAUUAUUGACUGGAACGAGACUGAACCUUUAUUAUGAUGUACAGCAGCUGACACCAAGAUAAGUCAAACAUGUUAUAGGAAAGAGUUAUCAGUUAUCGUUUUCUCGAGGAUCUUCCCGUUGACAAUAAAAUUGUCUGGCUUUUCACGCACUAAACACACUAAAGUCUGCACAGCAUACGAUCGGGGAUGAAUUACGAACAUUCAACAAAUGGGAUGUUGUUGGUUUACAUUAUCAAAGUUUCUGUGAUCACAGUAGGAAUUUUGCAUUGGUAAAUUCAAAAUUUUGAAGGAUUUGUAAGAAAGUUUUGAGGGAACUGAGCCACUGUUUAACACUGAGUCAUUUCCCUCAAACAUUUCUUACAAAUCCUUCAAACUUCGAACUUACCUUUGCAAAAUUCCUACUGUGAUGACAGAAACUUUGAUAGUGUAAACCAGCUUUAAAAAAAAAAUCAAUCGAGAUAUUGUGACAAUCAAUCGGCUCAUUAUUCUGACACAUAUAAAAACAGCUAUUUUUCUAGUCUCUACUAUUUUUGUUCAGAACAUGGCAAAAGUUAGAAAAUAAAUUGGGAAAACCUUAGUAAUAUAUUUAAUCCUGACUGACUACAGAAGAGUGCAUUAUAGAAUAGUGAGCUUAAGCAAGAAACGUUUUUGUCAACACGGAACGUCAGAUUGCCGAGGUGGGACUGGUUUGAAAACUGUGUUUGUAUCAGUUUGUGUUAAUCUUCAACACAUAUGACAAAACAUAAGAUUUUUAAAGUUUCUUACUUCCUUACACGAGCGCUAUGAUGCAAAAUGCCGCCAAAAUGGACCAUUUGCAUUAUAGACUAAAUUUUGAUCU